rfam:Physcomitrella patens subsp. patens PHYPAscaffold_369 genomic scaffold, whole genome shotgun sequence.
UUACAAAGAGUUCUUGAGUCUCCAUGCUUCUCUGACGUUGCAUGGAGUCUAUGUCUGGACCUUCUCCAUUUCCUCUUUCAAGAGAAUGUGAGCAUUGAAGGAUUCGGACAUAGCCUUCAUGCAUGCUAGAGUAUCAUGGAGGCCCGUGAACUACUUGUAA